rnacentral:siRNA from 1 species
UUGAACGACUGGUUGAGCGUUUG